rnacentral:rRNA from 1 species
UACGGGGGGGGCUAGCGUUGUUCGGAAUUACUGGGCGUAAAGGGCGCGUAGGCGGUUCAUUAAGUUGGAUGUGAAAACUCUGGGCUUAACCCAGAGCCUGCAUUCAAAACUGAUGGGCUGGAGUUCUGGAGGGGAUAGCGGAAUUCCAGGUGUAACGGUGAAAUGCGUAGAGAUCUGGAGGAACACCGAUGGCGAAGGCAGCCUUCUGGGCCAACACUGACGCUCAUGCACGAAAGCGUGGGGAGCAAACAGG